GUGCACAGGAACUGACAGAAACAGCUCAGUCUAUCAGCAGUGAGGUCCUGAGCAAGUCUAGAAUUGUGAUCCAGGGACUCAAGCAGAAAGAAGAGCAAGACUACUGGGAACACAGCACAGAUGCAACACUGGCAGUAAGAGCCAGAGCAGCAGGGGCAGUGAGCCCGGCACAUGCCCCGCACAACCCCACGGCUGAUGUCCUGGCUCUCCUGGACACAGCCCCAUACACAACAGAUGAGAUCCUAAGCAGAGCUAUGAUUGUGAUCCACAAAUCUGAGGAGUACAUGGAAGAACAGAGGAAGUGGGAACAAGGCACUGGUGAGGGAAUGAGGGCAGUAGCCCCAGGAGGAUGGGUGGAGAGCCCAGGACAUACCAUGCACAGUCACACAGCUGAUGCUCCGGUAUUCCUGGACUACAAUGACUACCUUCGGACAGAGGUGGUUAAGAAGGCCGUGCUUAUGGUCCAGAAACCAUCUGAAAACUCAGAGGAGGAGCAGGACCAGGAACUAAUUGCAGACAGAUCAAAAAUGGUACAAAGACCCUCAGGUCGUGUCCAAAGCAUUCCAGCACCUGCAGUCAUCAACACCCAGGCUCGACAGAGGUGGCUGAGACUUGUCCACAAAGCAAUGAGGGCUCUUCCCUUAGCCUCCACAGCCACCUCUGCCACAGGGAAGGAGAAGAAGCAGCUAACUGCUGAUGGCAUGGAUCUGCUGGACACAGCAGAGUGGAUCAGGAGAGAUGUCCCAGACAAAGCUACACUUGAAAUCCAGAGAUCUGGCCAACAAAUUGUGGGACAGCAGGACAUGAAAUCCAGAAGGGAUGUGUCACCAACAGUAACAGCUACUGCAGCAGGGAAAAAGAGUCAUGUACAUGAGGCAUGCAGUCCCACAGCUGAUGGGCUGGUCUUCUUGAAUGCAGCUGACUGCAUACAUACUGAAGUUCUUAAGAAGGCCUUGCUUGUGGUCCAGAGACACUUGGAAGAGAGAGAAGAACCAUGGGAGCAGGAACAAGGUGUAGAUGAAGAGAUGGGAACAAAAGCCAGAGCAGUAGAGGCAGCGGGGCAGACACAUUUCCCGCACAACCUCAGAACUGAUGGCCAGGUUCUCCUGGACACAGCCCAGCACAUCCCAGCCCCAGGAGAAGGGACAGAGAGCCCAGGACAUACCUGGACAUACAGUUGCCCAGCUGAUCCUCCGGUAUUCCUGGACUAUAAUGACUAUCUCUGGACAGAGGUGGUUAAGAAGGCCGUGCUUAUGGUCCAGAAACCAUUAGAAUACCCAGAGGAGGAGCAGGACCAGGAACUAAGUGCAGACAGAUCAAAAACAGCAAAAAGACCUUUGGAAUGUGCCUAAAGCAUUCCAGUAUCUACAGUCAUCAACACCUGGGCUCGACACAGAUGGCUGAGUUUCAGGAUAAAUAACGAG
rnacentral:lncRNA from 1 species